rnacentral:rRNA from 1 species
ACGCUGGCGGCAGGCCUAACACAUGCAAGUCGAGCGGUAGCACAGAGAGCUUGCUCUCGGGUGACGAGCGGCGGACGGGUGAGUAAUGUCUGGGAAACUGCCUGAUGGAGGGGGAUAACUACUGGAAACGGUAGCUAAUACCGCAUAACGUCGCAAGACCAAAGUGGGGGACCUUCGGGCCUCAUGCCAUCAGAUGUGCCCAGAUGGGAUUAGCUGGUAGGUGGGGUAACGGCUCACCUAGGCGACGAUCCCUAGCUGGUCUGAGAGGAUGACCAGCCACACUGGAACUGAGACACGGUCCAGACUCCUACGGGAGGCAGCAGUGGGGAAUAUUGCACAAUGGGCGCAAGCCUGAUGCAGCCAUGCCGCGUGUGUGAAGAAGGCCUUCGGGUUGUAAAGCACUUUCAGCGGGGAGGAAGGCGGUGAGGUUAAUAACCUCAUCGAUUGACGUUACCCGCAGAAGAAGCACCGGCUAACUCCGUGCCAGCAGCCGCGGUAAUACGGAGGGUGCAAGCGUUAAUCGGAAUUACUGGGCGUAAAGCGCACGCAGGCGGUCUGUCAAGUCGGAUGUGAAAUCCCCGGGCUCAACCUGGGAACUGCAUUCGAAACUGGCAGGCUAGAGUCUUGUAGAGGGGGGUAGAAUUCCAGGUGUAGCGGUGAAAUGCGUAGAGAUCUGGAGGAAUACCGGUGGCGAAGGCGGCCCCCUGGACAAAGACUGACGCUCAGGUGCGAAAGCGUGGGGAGCAAACAGGAUUAGAUACCCUGGUAGUCCACGCUGUAAACGAUGUCGAUUUGGAGGUUGUGCCCUUGAGGCGUGGCUUCCGGAGCUAACGCGUUAAAUCGACCGCCUGGGGAGUACGGCCGCAAGGUUAAAACUCAAAUGAAUUGACGGGGGCCCGCACAAGCGGUGGAGCAUGUGGUUUAAUUCGAUGCAACGCGAAGAACCUUACCUGGUCUUGACAUCCACAGAACUUUCCAGAGAUGGAUUGGUGCCUUCGGGAACUGUGAGACAGGUGCUGCAUGGCUGUCGUCAGCUCGUGUUGUGAAAUGUUGGGUUAAGUCCCGCAACGAGCGCAACCCUUAUCCUUUGUUGCCAGCGGUUAGGCCGGGAACUCAAAGGAGACUGCCAGUGAUAAACUGGAGGAAGGUGGGGAUGACGUCAAGUCAUCAUGGCCCUUACGACCAGGGCUACACACGUGCUACAAUGGCAUAUACAAAGAGAAGCGACCUCGCGAGAGCAAGCGGACCUCAUAAAGUAUGUCGUAGUCCGGAUUGGAGUCUGCAACUCGACUCCAUGAAGUCGGAAUCGCUAGUAAUCGUAGAUCAGAAUGCUACGGUGAAUACGUUCCCGGGCCUUGUACACACCGCCCGUCACACCAUGGGAGUGGGUUGCAAAAGAAGUAGGUAGCUUAACCUUCGGGAGGGCGCUUACCACUUUGUGAUUCAUGACUGGG